rnacentral:rRNA from 1 species
GACGAACGCUGGCGGCGUGCUUAACACAUGCAAGUCGAACGGUAAGGCCCCUUCGGGGGUACACGAGUGGCGAACGGGUGAGUAACACGUGAGCAACCUGCCCUUGACUCCGGGAUAACAGUUGGAAACAGCUGCUAAUACCGGAUACGACCUUCGAUGACAUCAUCUGGAGGUGGAAAGCGCUUUAGCGGUCAAGGGUGGGCUCGCGGCCUAUCAGCUUGUUGGCGAGGUAACGGCUCACCAAGGCUUCGACGGGUAGCCGGCCUGAGAGGGCGACCGGCCACACUGGGACUGAGAUACGGCCCAGACUCCUACGGGAGGCAGCAGUGGGGAAUACUGCACAAUGGGCGCAAGCCUGAUGCAGCAACGCCGCGUGCGGGAUGACGGCCUUCGGGUUGUAAACCGCUUUCAGUUCCGACGAAGCGCAAGUGACGGUAGGAACAGAAGAAGGACCGGCCAACUACGUGCCAGCAGCCGCGGUGAUACGUAGGGUCCGAGCGUUGUCCGGAAUUAUUGGGCGUAAAGGGCUUGUAGGCGGUUUGUCACGUCGGAAGUGAAAACUCAGGGCUCAACCCUGAGCCUGCUUCCGAUACGGGCAAACUAGAGGGAUGCAGGGGAGAAUGGAAUUCCUGGUGGAGCGGUGGAAUGCGCAGAUAUUAGGAGGAACACCGGUGGCGAAGGCGCCGCUCUGGGCCGAAACUGACGCUGAGGAGCGAAAGCGUGGGUAGCAAACA